ACGACACCUGUUGCAACGACAACACUUGGCCCCACAACAACACCUGUUGCAACGACAACACCUGCCCCCACAACAACACCUGCUCCCACGACAACACCUGUUGCAACGACAACACUUGGCCCCACAACAACACCUGUUGCAACGACGACACCUGCCCCCACAACGACACCUGUACAUCAAGAUGUUGCAUUACUGGCCCUACAGAUGAAGAUAUCUUUCGUUGGAGAUGUUAGCGAUGGAAUCAUCAUCGAACAUGUUGAAGAGUUUUUUAGAAAGCAGCUCAAGAAUGGAACAGCUUACAAGAUCAACGUGACAAACAUUCAAAGGGUUAAAGUUCUCCAAUAGAAGCUUCAUGUGGAUGUUUAAAGACAUUAAUUUAAUUCCUAUCUGUAAAGAGUCUUUCGACAGUUUUAGCAUAAUACCUCAAAUAUUGUUGUACUCUCCUGCAACAGUUUGGGACCGGGUUGCUUUUUUUUACAAUUAAACUCGGAGAAAUAUAAUGUUUUUUAAAAGGACCGGAUACACCCGUCUGUGCUUAAAGUUCACUUUAUCGCUGCAGACGAGCCUCACGUGCCGAACCCGCUGGGCUGGAAGCACAUUUCAGUGACAAAGUAUGGGUCUUAAAACAUAUUCAACCUGCUCAAUCAACUCAAUCUGUCACUUCAGGGGGAAAUUACAACUUUUUUCAAGAUGGACGAUAAAGUCGGCACAAUUGUGGGGACGGCGUGUGAACAGGGGAAUAUUUGGCCUUAAAAGUACAUUUCACGCAACAACUCUGCCGGUAAUAUGGAUCAAAAUCAAGGCAGAAUAGCCCGAGAUCGCCAACAAAAGCUCUGAAAACCCUGCUUCCAUUUCCAACGUCAUAUCUUUUUGGUUUCUGCAAUGACAGCGACCAAAACUAAGUUAUGGAGCAGACCGGACAUAACUAACACACGUCGGGUCACCGGCCUGUUGCAGAUAAACAAGCUCAGGGCUCCCACUAAUUCGGUGUAAUGGUGAGUUGUAUUUUUAUGCACUUAAUGCCGGUCAUAUAAUUUUAUUACGUCAGAUUUAUUACGUCAGAUUCAUCGCCGGUCCUUGAAAAUAUUGUCUGACACGAAACCGGUCCGUGGCUCAAAAAAGGUUUGGGACCGCUGCUCUACUGUAUAUACAACCAAUAGCUCAAAAGUACCACCCUAAAAGUUGUGUUUAUUUUUCAAACACAGAGGCUAAGAUUUGAGAUUCAAUCCCAUCUUCUGCUUCUUUAUUGUCAAACUCCUUGGUCAACAUUAGGAGUUUUACUACAUAAUCCCUGAAAGGUAUUCCCAAGAGUUGAAUGUGCAUUGAGUGUGCAAAGUCAAAUUAGAAGCUCAAACCAAGCAAUCUGAUCUGUCAAACAGGUUUUAACGGUGUAAAUAAUUUCCAUUCUCUGUAACUGGAGCAGCAGCUACCAGGAAACACUCCACCCUGUCACAAUGAAUCAGGAAACGUCUCACAUACAUAUUUGUAUGACAACCAUUGAACCGUGAAAAGGAGAAAUGAAUGGUCUGUCAGAGGUUGCUGAUCAAAUGCACAUGUUCAUUGAAUAUAAAUAUGUUUACAUUGUGCCAUCAAUAAUGAAUUAUUGAAUGUAUCUUCUUCACCAUAUGAAAGCACUACUUGUUUGUUGUGUGCUAUAAAACAAUGCCUUGCAAUAUUUCAAUCCAGUAAAGGAAUUCUAUCAGACAUUCUCUGUGGAAGUUUUUUUUUUUUUUUAAAGAAGGUUUUGAUGAAAUGGGUUUGAGUUAUUAAUUAACGAUUAACACUGAAUUUAGGCCAGUAUGUAUCAGUCAUUUCUUAUUCCUUUACUGCAAGGGUUUGCAUCAUUUUAGUUGGGCUUUACUUUCAGACUACAUGGGCAUUAAAUACUUUCUGGUUUUGUUUUGUUGUAACACUAUAUUCAUGACAAAAUUGGCAUUCAUGUUAUGUCUUUUUUUUUUAUGAAUAAAGAGACAUAUUCAAAGAA